rnacentral:rRNA from 1 species
ACGGCUCAGUAACACGUAGUCAACCUGCCCUCGGGUCAAGUAUAAUCUCGGGAAACUGAGGCUAAUUCUUGAUAGGUCAAGAUUCCUGGAAUGGGUUUUGGUUUAAAUGGCGUAACAGCAUCUUGUUAUUUUCGCCCGAGGAUGGGACUGCGGCCGAUCAGGCUGUUGGUGGGGUAAAGGCCCACCAAACCUUUUACCGGUACGGGCUUUGAGAGAAGGAGCCCGGAGAUGGACACUGAGACAAGGGUCCAGGUCCUACGGGGCGCAGCAGGCGCGAAACCUUCGCAAUGCGCGAAAGCGCGACGAGGUUAUUCUGAGUGAUUUCCGCUGAGGAAAUCUUUUCUUAGAUCUAAAAAGUCUAGGGAAUAAGGGGAGGGCAAGUCUGGUGUCAGCCGCCGCGGUAAUACCAGCUCCUCGAGUGGUCAGGGCGUUUAUUGGGCCUAAAGCAUCCGUAGCCUGCUCAGUAGGUCUCCUGUUAAAUCCAACGGCUCAACCGUUGGUCUGCAGGAGAUACCGCUGGGCUAGGAGGCGGGAGAGGCGGACGGUACUCCGAGGGUAGGGGUAAAAUCCUUUGAUCCCCGGAAGACCACCAGUGGCGAAGGCGGUCCGCCAGAACGCGCUCGACGGUGAGGGAUGAAAGCUGGGGGAGCGAACCGGAUUAGAUACCCGGGUAGUCCCAGCUGUAAACGAUGCGAGCUAGGUGACACGACGCCUUCGGGGCGUCGUGGUGCCGCAGGGAAGCCGUUAAGCUCGCCGCCUGGGGAGUACGGACGCAAGUCUGAAACUUAAAGGAAUUGGCGGGGGAGCAC